rnacentral:rRNA from 1 species
UGGGGAAUAUUGCACAAUGGGCGCAAGCCUGAUGCAGCCAUGCCGCGUGUAUGAAGAAGGCCUUCGGGUUGUAAAGUACUUUCAGCGGGGAGGAAGGGAGUAAAGUUAAUACCUUUGCUCAUUGACGUUACCCGCAGAAGAAGCACCGGCUAACUCCGUGCCAGCAGCCGCGGUAAUACGGAGGGUGCAAGCGUUAAUCGGAAUUACUGGGCGUAAAGCGCACGCAGGCGGUUUGUUAAGUCAGAUGUGAAAUCCCCGGGCUCAACCUGGGAAGUGCAUGUGAUACUGGCAAGCUUGAGUCUCGUAGAGGGGGGUAGAAUUCCAGGUGUAGCGGUGAAAUGCGUAGAGAUCUGGAGGAAUACCGGUGGCGAAGGCGGCCCCCUGGACGAAGACUGACGCUCAGGUGCGAAAGCGUGGGGAGCAAACAGG